AGGUGUCUCUUAUUGGGACAUGUUCGAAAAGCAAACUGGCCUGUUGCAUAGUAUCUAGCUAUUUAGCCACACGCUAAACCAUACAACUAGUGAAAUCCAUCUUCAAGAGGCAGCAGAAGAAGAGAAAUAAAUAUGGAUACGAUGCAGAUAGAAAGAGAAUCAGCAUGCCAUUUCAUAGAACAAGUAAUGAAAGCUUUCUCCAAAUGCCUAGGUCUUGAUCCAUCAUCAGCUGAAAAUAUUCAAUACCGUGUUGUUGAGAAUAAUGGUGAAGUAACAUCAUCCAUACCGGUUCGGUUUGGACCGGUUCGGUUUUCAUGAAGCCAACCGUAAACCGAACCGAACCGAUCGGUUAUGCAACAUGGUGAUCCAAAUACAUCCAAAAAAAAUCGGUUUUUUUGGAUUUCGGUUUAACCGGUUCGGUUUUCAUGAAGCCAACCGUAAACCGAACCGAACCGAUCGGUUAUGCAACAUGGUGAUCCAAAUACAUCCAAAAAAAAUCGGUUUUUUUGGAUUUCGGUUUUUUCGGUUCGGUUUUUGUUUUUUUUUUUGGAUUGGAUUGGAU
rnacentral:lncRNA from 1 species